rnacentral:lncRNA from 10 species
GGGUACUUUGUAACUCCAAGUGAAUUUGGGGGUUGUUAUAUUUUUGUAAAAAAAAAUGCCACUGGUAUUUUGAUAAGCAUUGUAUUUAAUCUGUACAUUGCUUUGGGUAGUGUGGACAUUUUAACAAUAUUAAGUCCUCUGAUCCAUGAACACAUGAUGUCUUUCCAUUUAUUUGUAUCUCCUUUAAUUCAUCAGUGUUUUAGUUUUCAGUGUAUAAUGAUUUCACUUCCUUAGUUUUUUCCUAAGUAUUUUAUUCUUUUUGAUGUUUUUAUAAAUAAGUUGUUUUCUUAGCUUCUUUUUAGAAAAGCUCACUUUUCUAAGAUGCAACUGAUUUUUGUUUGCUGAUUUUGUAUCCUGCAACUUUAUUAAAUUUAUUAGUUCUAAUAGUGUGUGUGUGUGCACGCGUGUGCACAUGUGUGUAGAAUUCUGGCACAAAGCUUAUUGUCAGCUUUCAGGCCAGAUAUUUGUUGGUUUUGAUGGGUCUCUAAACGACCCACUGGUGUGAGAGAAUUCCAUUCCUAGCUCCUUCUAAAUGCCUGUCUGCAAACUUCUCUUUGUGUUAACAUCUUCCUUUCUUUGAAAUAAAACCAUCCAUCAUCAAGAGUCCUAGCAAAAAUCUUGCUGUCAGCUUUCAGGACUCGAUAUUUGUAGGUUUUGCUGGGUCCGUAAAAGGGCCACUGUUGAGAGAGAAUUCCCUCCUCGCUCUUUCUAAAUCCCAGCCUGCAAAUGUCUCUUGGUUCCCUUUAGAUUUCCUUGCCCUGCACUGCAGUCUAUAAACUGCCUCCAGUCAGUAAGGUGAGAAAAUCAUAGGGCUCACAUAGUUUGUUUCUCGUCUUUCAAGGGAUCAAGGUCCUAUACUGCCUGUUGUCCGAUGUCUUCUAAUUCUGUGUCACAAGAGGGCAACUGCCAAAGUAGUUGAUCCUAUUCUAGGUCUCUUAUGUGCACACUAAUUCUCAUUAUAGCCCAUCAAAAUGGAAGCUUAUAGUCAUGGCAGAAGGCAAAGGGGAGCCAGUGUGUCAUACAGCAAGAGAGGAAGCAAGAGAGAUGCCAGGCUCUUUUAAACAACUAGCUCUCACAUGAACUGAUAGAGUGAAAACUCACUCAUUACCAUGGGGCGGGCACCAAGCCAUUCUUGAGGAAUCCACUCCCCUGACCCAAACACCUCCCACCAGGCCCCACCUCCAACACUGGGGAUCACAUUUCAACAUGAGAUUUGGAGGGGACAAAUACCCAAACCAUAUCACCUGGGGAUUUGAAUGCAGGAAGUCUGGCCCAUGGUUUUAAUCACUCUACUGUAUGGACUCUCAAGGAAGUAGUAGAAAUAUAAAAAUAUCUAAAGCAUACUAAGAUAUUUAAAAAUCUCUAAAGAUACUAAGAUAUUUAAGAUAUUUAGGAGUAAGAUGUA